CAGGGAUCAAACCCAUGUCUCCUGCAUUGACCAGUGGGUUCUAUACCACUGAGAUAUCUGAAAAGCCCUAGGCCACUAUACAUCUGUCCUAACCACCCCAAGGCCAGGUACUAAAUAACUAGAGACAGCUCCUGUGAUGGAAAACUGCUGAAAUCAUUCAAACUAACCAAUUCUAAGCUUUUUAUCCUGUUCCUUUCCACAGAAAUCACUCACCAAAAAUUCUUACCCACAGCUCCUCUCUGUUCCUCUCCCCUCCCCAGCUCCUCAAGCAUACCCCCAGCCCGCCUCCUGACCUGCAUCAUUGCUUCCCAAGUGGCUGCCAAUGCCAUAGCGUGCCCCUUCCUCUGUGAGUAACAAACUAUUUUCUCAAUGGCCAUGGUCUCCUGAUCUGCUGACCUUGCCGCAUCUCAAAUCUUCUAUUAACACACUACACUUUUAAACACUCAGCUUCCUUGCUCUGGACUCUCAAUGGCCCCAUUCAAAGUCUCUGGUGCAUCUUCCAUGCGGUCCCCCAGACCUGGAUAUCCCCACCUCAGCUUCUACUGUGAGGUCACCUUGACCCUACACAGGUGUAUGGUGGCUCAGGGAAGGAUUUCUGAUGCUCAGCUCGACGUCUAUGCCCCACCGGGAUUGAGAGAAAUUCAAUAGUCAACCCAGACUUGCUGUCUGGCCACACUCUCCUAUCGAGCUGCAACAUAUUGGUCGCGGGCACUCAUCACGGGGUCCCAAGCAAGAGCUUCACCAUGUGAAGAGGAUGGAUAAAGCUUCAAAAUGGAUAAAAGUCAAACACUGAGAACCAGGAAGAAAAAGAGUCGAGGACAUGGAUAAUCAAACGGAGAUCAGUCCUGAGUAACCAGGAGUUUAAACUGGCACUCCCAGGUAGAAAAGCAGAGUCCAGCCACAAAAACUCAAGAGGGGUAGAGGGGAAAUCUCUCCCUCUAACAGAGGGAAUGAAGUAACCCUUUCUCAUCAGUUAAUGCAGGACUAUUUCUUCUCACCUGCCCAAGAAAUCAAGUCUGAGCUAAUAAUUGUCAUCAUUUUUGAUACAACUAAAAUUACUGUCUACAUUCGGACAGAAUGUCCCUGGCCACUUCUGCAUAGAAAUCUGAGAAAACUCAUUUGUAAAAAGGACUUUCUUCAGCAUCCUUUAUUCAACCACUAAUGGCUUAAUUGGUCUGAACACUACAGAGGGAAAUGAGAGGAAAAGUGGACAAGGUGGACAAGAGUGAUUAUACUGUGACCAGUAAAAAUUGAUCCAGAGAGUGAAUCCACAAUCAAAAUUGACAUUUCACCUCUGCUGUA